GGGCCUGCGAGAAAACAGAUGGGGACACAGUGUUAAGGGAGUAGCCCCGGGCGAAGCACAGCAACGCUUGAGUUCUGGGCCCAAGGGUGACGUGACGGACUGGCAAUCCCAGCUCUAGCUUCACCCUUUGGUCCUUGGGGGGAUCGUGGCCCUCCUUCUGAGGAGAGUGGACAGGAUAUGGGGAAGGCUGGAGAGAGGGACACCCAGACAGGGAGCACCUAGUGUAAGGAGGACUGAUGGGAAAGUAGACACUCAACCGGCAAAGGAUUCUGGGGACAGUCAAUGUGGUGAGACACCCAAACAGGAGAAUCCAGUGGCACCUCUUGGGGAGUCUGGAGAGGCUUUCGGAGAACCCUAGUCAUUCCAAGAACAAAAGAGGAAGGGGGGCCCUCAGGCCUCAGAGAUGAGACAAGGAGGCCACAGAGGCAGAGGACACAUGCAAAAAGCUCGAGAAUCCCAGAAAGGAAGAGGAACGAGGGAUACCCAGAUGGUCCCAGGACCAGAAGAGGGGAGACAUCCAGGGAGAGGACAGAUGAACAGCGACCAGAACUAGGCAAAUGGAUGGGAGUCAAAUGGACAGCCUUAAGAAGACAGAAGAAACACUCCGGACAGUUUGGGAGCAGGACCUGGACAGAGAAGAGAGGGCAGAUCCUGGGAGUUGAGGGAUGUGAGAGAGAGGCAAGCAGGAAUCUGACUCAAGGACAGAGGGGGAACCCAAGUCCACAUACAGGGAGAGCCCCUUAGAUAGCAGCAAGAACCCGACCCAGCUCUCCAGAUCUGAACCUUCUAUUCUACAUCCCAAAGAACUCAAGCCUUCCAGUCCACCCUCCGCCCCCCAACCAGCUCUCAUCAGCCCCUGAUGUUGGAUAAUGAAGCCUCUAAAUAAUUCAUUGGGAUUAAUUAAAUGCCAAUUCGUCAAUGGUCUCAAUGGGUAACCAGGGGCCAAGAGAAAAAGGGAGAAGGGAAGCAAAUGAGGACCCAGGUAUCCAGCUCCCCAGCCCAUCAGCCUCCAGUCUUCCCCCUCCCACUUCCUCCAGUCUCCCAAGAGCUUCCAUGGCUCCAGCCCUCCCACUAUCCCUUUUCCCCUCCCUAGCCACUCAGCAAUCGAGGAGAGAUGAUCUACCCUCCCACUCCUACUUCCUAGCCCCGAGUUCCCACCCCCUCGAGAAGCCCCAACGCAAAGGAUGUCUUCAACUUCCCUCCAAUGCCCUCUCCCCCUGGGGCCCGGAUUGACCCCUAUAGCAUCCGCUUCCCCACCCCCAUCCCACUUUCCCAGUCCCCCCAGCACUGGAAGAGCCACCAACCAUUAGACAAGUAGGUUCAUUUGCAUAAAAUUGCCUUUCUGAAA